UCAUAAAUUUUGUCCUCAAAACCUCCAAAGAGAUUUAAUAUAUCUUUCAUCAUUAUUGGCAUUUAUUCCUUUUUAUGAUAAUCCCUCUCUCUUCCUUCUCUUUAUAUAUUCUUUCACAAUAUACCGAAUGUGAUUUCCCCCUCAUUUUUCUGGCAUUUACUUCUCAUUAAUAUCCCAUUAACUAUAUGUUUAACUUCUUUUUUCCAAAAGAACGAGUGUAACGGCUCAACAAUGAACAUAAUGGUGCAGUUACAUCCUAAAAAUUAUACUAUCUAUUUAAAUUCCAGCUAAUGAAUAUAUGGUGCAAGAUUUUCUUUCAUGCUUCAUAUCUAAAUUCUUAGAAAACCGUGGCUCCUUUCCCGUCGAAGGCUUGAAGGAUUGUUAAGACAAGCAAGGGGAGAGUCAAGAAGAUGGCAUGAGAAAGUGCAACCGUGAGAACUAAAGACUGAGAUUUAAAAAGAUUUUCGAUAUUUUCUUUACAAAUAUUUAUGUCUUUUAUUUUUCUGUACCGAAGACGUUAAUAAUAUUAGUAGUAAUAUACACCACUUGAUAAUAAUACAAUUUUAAAUAAUGUUGAUUUAACUAUGUUUAACCAUUCAAUCCAUAUGUGUAGAAUAUUUAACUGCCUUAAACAACUGGACGAUAAAUUAUUUGUUCUUCCCAUGAAAAUCGAUGUAUGUAAAAAUGUCAUUUAAUUUAGGAAUACUGCAGUUUCUUUCUAUAAAUGCAUUUACAA